rnacentral:rRNA from 1 species
GACGAACGCUGGCGGCGUGCUUAACACAUGCAAGUCGAACGGAAAGGCCCUGCUUUUGUGGGGUGCUCGAGUGGCGAACGGGUGAGUAACACGUGAGUAACCUGCCCUUGACUUUGGGAUAACUUCAGGAAACUGGGGCUAAUACCGGAUAGGAGCUCCUGCUGCAUGGUGGGGGUUGGAAAGUUUCGGCGGUUGGGGAUGGACUCGCGGCUUAUCAGCUUGUUGGUGGGGUAGUGGCUUACCAAGGCUUUGACGGGUAGCCGGCCUGAGAGGGUGACCGGCCACAUUGGGACUGAGAUACGGCCCAGACUCCUACGGGAGGCAGCAGUGGGGAAUAUUGCACAAUGGGCGGAAGCCUGAUGCAGCAACGCCGCGUGCGGGAUGACGGCCUUCGGGUUGUAAACCGCUUCCGCCUGUGACGAAGCGUGAGUGACGGUAAUGGGUAAAGAAGCACCGGCUAACUACGUA